AUGGGAUUGUUCAAUUCUAUCAAUUCUUCAUUUCCUAUUACCAGAAAUCCUGUUUGGGGGUUUCAAUAUAUGAAAGGUAAAAAGAUCAGAAGGCAACACAGAAGCAGGUAAAUAUUGACAGAUCCAAAGCACAUACCAGUGUCCUACUGAGAGUAAAAACAACUGCCUGUGCUGCUCAGGGACCAAGUCAAUCCUAUGGAUGGGAGCUGUCAGGGACCUCAGCUACCACAGGAAGAGUUCACAGCAGAUCCCACAGGUGGCCUGCCCUGUUCUCAAGCUGUUCAUCUCACUGAGGCCCCACCAAGCCAUGGUCUGCAGCUUUGAACCUUUUCCUGAAAGGAGACACACUGACUAUGGUAUGCUGCAUGGUGAAGGAAAAGAAGUUGUUUCUAGCUCAGUUUUGUGGUAUGUAAUAUGAGGAAGUAAUGAAGAUGACUGACUGAAGCAGCAGUAAAAAUGACCGGGAGAAGGAACAUAAAUGGUUGUGAAAACUGGCAGAGGUAAAGGUAACUAUCUCAUGGAAAUUAUUUACAUGCAGUUUCUUAAUUAAGUUGUCUAGAUAUGGAACCCUUUGUUUUCAGGUUAUUCCCAGUGUUUUCAAGGGUCAGUUUAGAAGGAUCUGAUUUAACAACCUCAUUUUUGACAUGGCUCUGAAAAUAAGAGACUGUGGACAAGGUUUUUUAACAGAAAUUUCUGGGAUGUAUUCAAAGAGGAUGAAUUGGGAUAUCAUAAAGGGAGAAUGAGGUCA